AAAAUCCGUCGACUUUAAAAUCGUGAGGG
rnacentral:tRNA from 3 species